GACGAACGCUGGCGGCGUGCUUAACACAUGCAAGUCGAACGGAAAGGCCCUGCUUUUGUGGGGUGCUCGAGUGGCGAACGGGUGAGUAACACGUGAGUAACCUGCCCUUGACUUUGGGAUAACUUCAGGAAACUGGGGCUAAUACCGGAUAGGAGCUCCUGCUGCAUGGUGGGGGUUGGAAAGUUUCGGCGGUUGGGGAUGGACUCGCGGCUUAUCAGCUUGUUGGUGGGGUAGUGGCUUACCAAGGCUUUGACGGGUAGCCGGCCUGAGAGGGUGACCGGCCACAUUGGGACUGAGAUACGGCCCAGACGCCUACGGGAGGCAGCAGUGGGGAAUAUUGCACAAUGGGCGGAAGCCUGAUGCAGCAACGCCGCGUGCGGGAUGACGGCCUUCGGGUUGUAAACCGCUUUCGCCUGUGACGAAGCGUGAGUGACGGUGAUGGGUAAAGAAGCACCGGCUAACUACGUG
rnacentral:rRNA from 1 species